GACGAACGCUGGCGGCGUGCCUAAUACAUGCAAGUUGAGCGCUGAAGGUUGGUACUUGUACCGACUGGAUGAGCAGCGAACGGGUGAGUAACGCGUGGGGAAUCUGCCUUUGAGCGGGGGACAACAUUUGGAAACGAAUGCUAAUACCGCAUAAAAACUUUAAACACAAGUUUUAAGUUUGAAAGAUGCAAUUGCAUCACUCAAAGAUGAUCCCGCGUUGUAUUAGCUAGUUGGUGAGGUAAAGGCUCACCAAGGCGAUGAUACAUAGCCGACCUGAGAGGGUGAUCGGCCACAUUGGGACUGAGACACGGCCCAAACUCAUGCGGGAGGCAGCAGUAGGGAAUCUUCGGCAAUGGACGAAAGUCUGACCGAGCAACGCCGCGUGAGUGAAGAAGGUUUUCGGAUCGUAAAACUCUGUUGGUAGAGAAGAACGUUGGUGAGAGUGGAAAGCUCAUCAAGUGACGGUAACUACCCAGAAAGGGACGGCUAACUACGUG
rnacentral:rRNA from 1 species